UACGUAGGGUGCAAGCGUUGUCCGGAAUUAUUGGGCGUAAAGAGCUCGUAGGCGGUUUGUCGCGUCUGCUGUGAAAACCCGAGGCUCAACCUCGGGCCUGCAGUGGGUACGGGCAGACUAGAGUGCGGUAGGGGAGAUUGGAAUUCCUGGUGUAGCGGUGGAAUGCGCAGAUAUCAGGAGGAACACCGAUGGCGAAGGCAGAUCUCUGGGCCGUAACUGACGCUGAGGAGCGAAAAGCAUGGGGGAGCGAACAGG
rnacentral:rRNA from 1 species